rnacentral:lncRNA from 1 species
GGAAAGGAAUCCUCUCCCCCUUCCCCUCCCCCUGGGGCGGGGCUCAACCUCUGGCUAUAAACCGGGGUGCUUCAGCCUGCCCAGCAAGAUUUCUCCCCACCACUCUCUCACACCUCUGCUGACCCAGACUCAGGUCACACCAGGACCCCAGGAUGUCGGACGCCGAAGAGCAAGAAUAUGAAGAGUGAGUGAUGCCGGCGGGAGGGCUGGGGGCCUGGAGCGGCGGAGACCCCUCCCGCCUCCAAGGCUCCUAAUUCUCUCCCUCCCUCUUUCCUUCCCCCGGGUCCUCAGGGAGCAGCCUGAAGGUGAGUGGGGCGCGGGCUAGCCUUGGCGGGGGUGGGGUUGGGGGUGCCUUGCAGCAUCUUACUUAGCCCACCCCGCCCGACGCCCGCUCUCCUGGUUCGCACAGCCCGUGCGUGGGAAGCGCUCUCGGGUCCAUUUGCCGCGGAGGCCCCGAGGGGCCCCCCUCUCGGUCUCGG